GAUGCCAAACGCCGCUAGAGGCGCUGGCUGUCCUAUUAUUGGUGUGCUAAAAAACCUGACCGAAAAAUGUACCGUUUCUACUACGGGGUCUCAUGAAUAUUCAGGAAGUCAAAACGUGGUCACGUGGCACUUUUCCGGAACCUGGUGAGCUGAAGUUAGCGGACUGCCAUAGCAGCUUAUAUUUACUAUGGAAGAAGAGUAUUCACAACCAUUAUUCAUAACAGAUUCUGAGGAGAGUGAAAAAGAAAUUGGAGCAAGUGAAUCUCAAGCACAGACGCAAGCUCCAAGAUUCAUGCCACUUUUCACUCCACGCUUUAGUUCUGAGAAUACAGCAUUGAUAUUUUUUAUCACUGUAUGCAAUUUUUUACUCAUUGUUGUACAUCUUUUUUUUUAAAAUUUUAUAACCAGAGAUAUUUGUUAUUUAUAGAGAAGGGGUGAUUCUUUCUUUAAUAAUGUCAUAACAUUCGAUUACUUAUACAUGUAACUUUUUGUAUUUGCAUAUGACUUUGAUGACGUCCAGUCAUGCCAAAAAAGAAAUUAUUUUGUCAUGUGUAAUCCCUGUGAUUAUAUCAUAUAUUGUUAAUUUUUUUAAGUUUUAUAUUUUUGGUUUUGUAGUUGGUAGUUUUCAUAUGAUUGAUGUUGAUCAUGAUACACAGUUUUGUUUUCUGUUAUUUUUAGAUUUAGGUCAUAAGUUUUCACCCAGAAAAAUUCUGUUAUUUAUUUAUUUUUGUUGAUUUUAAGUUUUAUUGAUUUUGUUAAUUGAAAUAAAGAUAUUUUUAUUGAUCAUAAUACUUGUGAUUUUCCAUUCCUGAAACAACUAUUUUUGUCUGUGUGUUUUGCAUGUGUAUGUAUCCAGGAAAAGACUGUGAAUAUUUUAAUAGCCUCUAGACCUACAGGGGGGUUGGAUGGCUGAAUGGUUAGCGUGCGCGUGCUGUAUCAGAAAGUCUGUCAUUGAGUCGACUGGCGUGGUUUCGAAUCCCCGGUUGUACGUGACAAGGAGUAGGGUCGCCUGUCCAACCUCGUGGGUUUUCUCCGGGUCCUCCGGUUUCCUCCCACUGCUAAAGACCCCUACGCGCAAGCGAAUUAUUGAAAUAAAAUUAAACCCUAUGUUAGUCCCGAAAUGACCUAGUUUGUGUCGAGUGGACGUUAAACCCCAUUUCUCUCUCUCUCUCUAGACCUACAGUUGACCCGUGACCUUACACUUUCUGUAUGACCUUGACAUGGUAUAGUCAAAAAAUGCAAUUCGAGUAGCUGAUGCCUAAUAAAAAAACACGAUAACAAUGUGAAAACAUUAUUUGUGUAUCUAUCACAUCAAAAAACGGGUUGGGUAAAUAUUUCAAAGCCCUGGGACUUCUACAUGGUUUAUUAUUAACUAUCACGUCAUUUUUUUGCUGUGACCUUGAACGAAAAUUGUCUCGGUCGUAAGUUUGAGAGUCUGUAGCACACACACUAUAUAACCGAAGAGUCUCCCGAUAAUUUGAUUCAAUCCAGUACAUCUUGAACUUCAAAUUCUGCAAGUUUCGUGGAUCUACCUAUUAUAGUGUCUGAGAUAUUAGCUUCGGUCAGGUUUUUUACGUUUUUUAAAAAAAGCCGUAUUUUGGUGCCUCCAAUUCGCGGUCUUCAAAAUGCCAUAACUUUUUUAAUUUUCAAUAUUUUUUCAAAAUUCUUUCAGAUUAUUGAAUCUAAAUAGUUGACGCUUG